ACAGAUCUAAGGAAUUCUAGAAUUCUGGAGAUGUGGCCAUAAAUAUAACAAUCUAGUUUCCUUAUUUGGUGCUUUUUAAACUGUCAUACCCAUGCCCUGAUUAUGCAAAGAUGUACCGGGGACAGGAAACUAUAAGAUAAGGUCCCCCAGAGUGAUACUGGUACAGAACCUAACACAAGCUAAGAAGGACUAGAAGAAACAAUUAUCACACAUACCUAGCAAGUGGAUAUUGGUUUCUAAUGCCAUUCACCAGUAAAAAAACACACAGGACUACUUGGAGAAAUUGACUGAUUCUAGGACUGAGGCUAGAAAUACUCAAGAUCAGCCUGGAGUUUCUUAUAGUGCCAGAAAGUAAGAAAGUGCUUGAAAAAAAAGAACCACAGAGUCCCACAAUAAUAGGAGUAUGUCAAAGACAUGAAGGAGCCAACUGAAGGAGCUCUUCAUGGCCAAAACUUGAAAAAUUGGAGCAAUGAAAUAAAGUAAAGCAGAAUUGGAUUAUAACCUAAAGUAUAAAAUAAGUAUUCAUAAGUCUAUGCCAAUAGAAAUGAUUGAAUAAAUAAAUGAGGAAAAGGGACAAAUUUCCUGUGCAGAAAAAUUCCAGCUGAUUUAUGUACUCCUCUCUCAAGUUGGAGUAUAACACCUAACUUCUUAAGUGUUGGUUGUACUUAGUGACUUCCUUCAAAACUAUACAGUAUGAAAGGGGAAGGAAAAGGUAACUUUACCUGGAAAAAGCUGACACAUGCUACCUCAGCCAGGAGAUCAAGUUCAACAUCAACAGUGAUAAGUCAUAUUGAUGGGAACAAGGCUCUUUUGUCUUUGAUUUUCCAAUCAAACCAGAACAUUUGCAUUCUGGUUUGCCUCUUCUCCAAAGAAUCACAACUCCUCGCCAGCAAGGGAGAAAAACUGGACAGAGAAUGAAUUUAAUGAGUUGACAGAAGUAGGCUUCAGAAAGUGGGUAAUAACAAACUACUUCGAGCUAAAGGAGCAUGUUCUAACCCAGUGCAAGGAAGCUAAGAACCUUGACAAAAGGUUAAAGAAAUUGCUAACUAGAAUAACCAGUUUAGAGAAGAACAUAAAUGACCUGAUGGAGCUGAAAAACACAGCACGAGAGAGAGCUGGUGAGGCAUACCCAUGUAUCAAUAGCCAAAUCGAUCAAGCAGAAGAAAGGAUAUCAAAGAUUGAAGAUCAACGUAAUGGAAUAAAGCAUGAAUACAAGAUUAGAGAAAAAAGAAUGAAAAGGAAUGAACAAAGCCUCCAAGAAAUAUGGGACUCUGUGAAAAGACCAAACCUACGUUUGAUUGGUGUACCUGAAAGUGACGGGGAGAAUGGAACCAAGUUGGAAAACACUCUUCAGGAUAUUAUCCAGGAGAACUUCCCCAACCUAGCAAGACAGGCCAGCAUUCAAAUUCAGGAAAUACAGAGAACACCACACAGAUACUCCUCGAGAAGAGCAACCCCAGUACAGCAAGCACUUAGUAAACAUCUUCUGAAGGAAUACUCGUAACAGGAUAGAAUAGAGACGAGGAACCAAUUUAAAAUAAAAGUACCUGCCUGUGAUUCCCAGCGUGUUUCCCAAGACCAUGGUUUCCCAUUCUAUAUCCAGACCCUUCCAGGGACAGGACUAUUCUCAAAGCAAAGAGUCAUUUUCUCUAGCUUCUUUGCAGUGAUGGAUAAAAGCCACUGUGGAACUCAUUCUAUUCUCUCAGUAGUGAAGAAAUGUCACUAGAAAUGUAAGACAUGUAACUGGCUAGAUUUUUCUAUAAACUCAACUAAAAUUUUCUCUCAUGCCCCUAUUCAGUGGAAGAGAUUUAAACCCAGCCAAUUCCAGUUUCCUUCUUUCUUUCUUGCUCUGUCAUUGUGUCUAUAGCAUUGUGGGAGCUGGGGUUCAUCUAGUCCUUGGCUAUCACAUCUCCAAGCCACAUCCCUGAGAGACGCAUCAUCUGGCCUGGCCCUGGUCACCAGGUGCACAGUCCAUGUGUGCUGUGCUCCAUUGCCAUCUGGGCAAUUCCCUCUGAUGCAGUGCUCUUUCUGCUCUGUCCCUCCUCGCCCCAGGCACCCAGCAUCGACUCUGUCCUCUAUGUUCCACCAUCUUCCCUUCCAUGGAGCAUUAGGCAUGGCUGUCUUAGGUGAUUUAGAACAUCCUAAAUAUGCAAACGAAACUCGUUAAUAUUCCAGAAUUACUCUGCUGCAUAGAUUAUUCAAAUUUAGAUCAACUGGCCUGGUGCUGUGACUCACGCCUGUAAUCCCAGCACUUUGGGAGGCUGAGGUGUGUGGAUCACUUGAGGUCAGGAGUUCAAGACCAGCCUGGGCAACAUGACAAAACCCCUUCUCUACCAAAAAUACAAAAAUCAGCUGGGUAUGGUGGUGUGUGCCUGGAAUCUCAGAUACUCAGGAGGCUGAGGCAGGAGAAUAGCUUGAAUCCAGGAGGCGGAAGUUGCAGUAAACUGAGAUCACGUCACCACAUUCCAGCCUGGGUGACGGAGCAAAACUCCAUCUCAAAAAAUACACAUAAUUAGUUAAUUAAGAUUAACUGGACAAGGGGAAUGUACACCUGUGUACAAACAGCCUAUGCGACUCCCAGACACAAUUUUGGGCCAAAGGGUAAAAGACAUUGGGAAAUAGAUUGGGCUUGCCAUAUAAAACAAACAAACAAAUAACCAAAACAAAAGAACUUGAAGCAAUUAAAGCUAUCCAAAAAUAAAAGUCGCUGCCUCUUUAGCUAGUGGUUUACUGGGCAGAAAAUAUUCAGCUCCAGUUCAAUGCUUGCUUAGGCAGAUGCUAGAGAAGAAAUUUAUGGGCAAGGGUUGGAAUAAAUUGUCUUUAAUACUUUCUCAAAUAUAGAAGUUCUGCGAUUUCUUAGGAAGGGUGUGUGUGUAUACAGAGAGAAAGAGAAAGAUGAAGUGGCUCGUGCAAACAUGGAGGCUUAGUAAACUCAAAAUCUUCAGAGGAGGCUAGCAGGCUGGAGACGCAGGGAACACUUGCUGCUGAAGUUCAAAGGCAGAACUCCCAUCUUGACUUGGGAGAGGUCAGUCUCUUAUUCCAUUCUGGCCUUUAACUGACUGGAUGAGCCCUACCCACAUUGCAGAGGGUAAUCUGCUAUAUUCAAAGUCCACCAAUUUAAAUGUUGAUCUAGGCCAGGCGCGGCGGCUUACGCCUAUAAUCCCGGCACUUUGCGAGGCCAAGGUGGGUGGAUCCCUUGAGGUCAGGAGUUUGAGACCAGCCUGGCCAAUGUGAUGAAACCCCACCUCUACUAAAAAUACAAAAAAUUAGCCGAGCAUGGUGGCGGGCGCCUGUAGUCCCAGCUACUCGGGAGGCUGAGGCAGGAGAAUGGCGUGAACCCAGGAGGCGAAGCUUGCAUUGAGCCGAGAUCUUGCCACUGCACUCCAGCCUGGGCGACAGAGCAAGACUGCAUCUC